GGGCCUAUAGCUCAAUUGGUUAGAGCAACGGUCUCAUAAACCGUAGGUUCCUGGUUCAAGUCCAGGUGGGCCCACCA
rnacentral:tRNA from 1 species